rnacentral:rRNA from 1 species
GAUGAACGCUGGCGGCGUGCCUAAUACAUGCAAGUCGAGCGACCAGACGAGGAGCUUGCUCCUCUGACGUUAGCGGCUGACGGGUGAGUAACACGUGGAUCACCUACCUCUAUGACUGGGAUAACUUCGGGAAACCGGAUCUACUACCGGAUAACAUGUUGAACCGCAUGGUUCAACAGUGAAUGACGGUCUUGCUGUCACUUAUAGAUGGAUCCGCGCCGCAUUAGCUAGUUGGUAAGGUAACGGCUUACCAAGGCAACGAUGCGUAGCCGACCUGAGAGGGUGAUCAGCCACACUGGAACUGAGACACGGUCCAGACUCCUACGGGAGGCAGCAGUAGGGAAUAUUCCGCAAUGGGCGAAAGCCUGACGGAGCAACGCCGCGUGAGUGAAGAAGGUCUUCGGAUCGUAAAACUCUGUUAUUAGGGAAGAACAAAUGUGGAAGUAACUAUGCACGUCUUGACGGUACCUAAUCAGAAAGCAACGGCUAACUACGUG